rnacentral:misc_RNA from 1 species
GUUUUCUCUUCCCCUUUUGCAAAUACAUACCUAACUAGCAAAAUACUCAUGUUAUUAUAAUAAAAUCAAAGUCAAAUCUAGACAUACAUAUACGAUUUUGCAUCUCCAAUAUGAGCUAUUCUGACUUUUUUUAAAACAAAAACCUAAUUCAAUAUCCAUCUUGGUCAAACAAAAAAAAAAAAAAUUUGAUAGUCAUUAGUUGCACGAGAACCAGCUCGAAUCAAAAGAACUUCCUUUCACUUGAUUUUCCUUUGUCCAACAUAGCUGAAACAGAAAACCCACUUGAAUAUCCUAUUCCUCACAAAACCCAAACAAAAACUCACUCAAUUUUCUAUUUUUGUUGCUCCUCUAGAACUUUCUCGAUUCCAUUUCAAUAAAAAUUUAUUUAAAUUCACUUGUAGUGUGUACUCGAAUUGUCAACUAUGUAAUCCAUUAAUAAAAAAAGAUUAUAUUGGGGAAGGAGGAAUGAGGAGUAGUGGUAAAUUAGGCCUCGUUUGGUAUGGUGAAACUAUUUGGGUAAGGUAUAUGAUAUCACCUAUCAGACGCAAUAUUGUGGG